AAAGAUGAAGGUGAAUGGAGACUGGAGAAAAGAAACGGGUGUAUUGGUUUUAAAUGGGUGGGUGCAAGUGUGCAACGGUCAUAUGACCCGAUUGCCACGUUUCAAACUGCCACAUCGCUGAAAACAAGCCACAUCAGCUGCUUAUUCAUCUUUCCGUCCAUGUUUUAACGUUGCUAACGGGUAGUGACCUGUUUGAAAUUUUUUAUCAGUAUAAUCAGUUGACUGACAGCUUUUUGAGUACGAUGACCCAAGUGAAAGUUAGAGGUCAGUUCAGUGACCAAAACGCCAUUUAACC
rnacentral:lncRNA from 1 species